rnacentral:tRNA from 1 species
GCCCGGGUGGCUCAGUCGGUUGAGCGUCCGACUUCGGCUCAGGUCAUGAUCUCACAGUCCGUGAGUUCGAGCCCCACGUCGGGCC